rnacentral:rRNA from 1 species
CCUACGGGUGGCAGCAGUGAGGAAUAUUGGUCAAUGGACGCAAGUCUGAACCAGCCAUGCCGCGUGCAGGAAGACGGCUCUAUGAGUUGUAAACUGCUCUUGUACGAGGGUAAACGCAGAUACGCGUAUCUGUCUGAAAGUAUCGUACGAAUAAGGAUCGGCUAACUCCGUGCCAGCAGCCGCGGUAAUACGGAGGAUUCAAGCGUUAUCCGGAUUUAUUGGGUUUAAAGGGUGCGUAGGCGGUCGGAUAAGUUAGUGGUGAAAUCCCGAGGCUCAACUUCGGAAUUGCCUGUGAUACGGUGCGGCUAGAGAGUAGUUGCGGUAGGCGGAAUGUGUGGUGUAGCGGUGAAAUGCUUAGAGAUCAUACAGAACACCGAUUGCGAAGGCAGCUUACCGGGCUACUUCUGACGUUGAGGCACGAAAGCGUGGGGAGCAAACAGGAUUAGAUACCCGAGUAGUC